rnacentral:misc_RNA from 1 species
AAAUCAUCCAUAAAUAUCCAGAAUCCUUUAAGAUCGAUCUACAUCGAUGAACAUCCAAAAAACAAAUCUAAAAAUCGUCUGAGAAAUAGAUUUUAAGGUUAUCUUUUGUUUUCUGCUUCCGUUCUUCUUCGAGUCGUUGUUCGAGUUCAAAGUUGAAUCUUGACGUCAAAACCCUUGUUUGAUGCUCCACAAAAGGAUUGAUAUGGAUAGUGAUUUUUCCUGAAGAAUAUCCUUAAUCUAAAAAAUGCAUUAGCAAGUUCAAUAAUU